UGUGACUAAAACGUCAUAGUUUAGUAUGUCGUCCAAAAUAUGACAAAAACGUCAUAGUUUAGUAUGUCGUCCGAAAUGUGACAAAAACGUCAUAGUUUAGUAUGUCGUCCAAAAUGUGACAAAAACGUCAGAGUUUAGUAUGUCGUCCAAAAUGUGGACUAAAACGUCAGAGUUUAGUGUUUCGUCCGAAAUGUGAAAAAAACGUCAUAGUUUAGUAUGUCGUCCAAAAUGUGACUAAAACGUCAUAGUUUAGUAUGUCGUCCGAAAUGUGACUAAAACGUCAUAGUUUAGUAUGUCGUCCAAAAUGUGACUAAAACGUCAUAGUUUAGUAUGUCGUCCAAAAUAUGACAAAAACGUCAUCGUUUAGUAUGUCGUCCGAAAUGUGACUAAAACGUCAUAGUUUAGUAUGUCGUCCAAAAUAUGACAAAAACGUCAUAGUUUAGUAUGUCGUCCAAAAUGUGACUAAAACGUCAUAGUUUAGUAUGUCGUCCAAAAUAUGACAAAAACGUCAUCGUUUAGUAUGUCGUCCAAAAUGUGACUAAAACGUCAUAGUUUAGUAUGUCGUCCAAAAUAUGACAAAAACGUCAUCGUUUAGUAUGUCGUCCAAAAUGUGACUAAAACGUCAUCGUUUAGUCUGUCUUCCAAAAUGUGACAAAAACGUCAGAGUUUAGUGUUUCGUCCGAAAUGUGAAAAAAACGUCAUAGUUUAGUAUGUCGUCCAAAAUGUGACUAAAACGUCAUAGUUUAGUAUGUCGUCCGAAAUGUGACUAAAACGUCAUAGUUUAGUAUGUCGUCCAAAAUGUGACUAAAACGUCAUAGUUUAGUAUGUCGUCCAAAAUAUGACAAAAACGUCAUAGUUUAGUAUGUCGUCCGAAAUGUGACAAAAACGUCAUAGUUUAGUAUGUCGUCCAAAAUGUGACAAAAACGUCAGAGUUUAGUAUGUCGUCCAAAAUGUGGACUAAAACGUCAUAGGUUAGUAUGUCGUCCAAAAUGUGACUAAAACGUCAUCGUUUAGUAUGUCGUCCAAAAUGUGACUAAAACGUCAUAGUUUAGUAUGUCGUCCAAAAUGUGACUAAAACGUCAUAGUUUAGUAUGUCGUCCGAAAUGUGACAAAAACGUCAUCGUUUAGUAUGUCGUCCAAAAUGUGACUAAAACGUCAUCGUUUAGUCUGUCUUCCAAAAUGUGACAAAAACGUCAGAGUUUAGUGUUUCGUCCGAAAUGUGAAAAAAACGUCAUAGUUUAGUAUGUCGUCCAAAAUGUGACUAAAACGUCAUAGUUUAGUAUGUCGUCCGAAAUGUGACUAAAACGUCAUAGUUUAGUAUGUCGUCCAAAAUAUGACAAAAACGUCAUCGUUUAGUAUGUCGUCCAAAAUAUGACAAAAACGUCAUAGUUUAGUAUGUCGUCCAAAAUGUGACUAAAACGUCAUAGUUUAGUAUGUCGUCCAAAAUAUGACAAAAACGUCAUCGUUUAGUAUGUCGUCCAAAAUGUGACUAAAACGUCAUAGUUUAGUAUGUCGUCCGAAAUGUGACAAAAACGUCAUAGUUUAGUAUGUCGUCCAAAAUGUGACAAAAACGUCAGAGUUUAGUAUGUCGUCCAAAAUGUGGACUAAAACGUCAUAGGUUAGUAUGUCGUCCAAAAUGUGACUAAAACGUCAUCGUUUAGUAUGUCGUCCAAAAUGUGACUAAAACGUCAUCGUUUAGUCUGUCUUCCAAAAUGUGACAAAAACGUCAUAGUUUAGUAUGUCGUCCGAAAUAUGACAAAAACGUCAUAGUUUAGUAUGUCGUCAGAAAUGUGACUAAAAUGUCAUAGUUUAGUGUUUCGUCCAAAAUGUGACUAAAACGUCAUCGUUUAGUAUGUCGUCCAAAAUGUGGACAAAAACGUCAUAGUUUAGUAUGUCGUCCGAGAUGUGACAAAAACGUCAUAGUUUCGUAUGUCGUCCGAAAUGUGACAAAAACGUCAUCGUUUAGUCUGUCUUCCAAAAUGUGACAAAAACGUCAGAGUUUAGUGUUUCGUACGAAAUUGAAAAAAACGUCAUAGUUUAGUAUGUCGUCCAAAAUGUGACUAAAACGUCAUAGUUUAGUAUGUCGUCCAAAAUAUGACAAAAACGUCAUAGUUUAGUAUGUCGUCCGAAAUGUGACAAAAACGUCAUAGUUUAGUAUGUCUUCCAAAAUGUGACAAAAACGUCAUAGUUUAGUAUGUCGUCCGAAAUAUGACAAAAACGUCAUAGUUUAGUAUGUCGUCAGAAAUGUGACUAAAACGUCAUAGUUUAGUGUUUCGUCCGAAAUGUGACUAAAACGUCGUAUGUCGUCCAAAAUGUGACAAAAACGUCAUAGUUUAGUAUGUCGUCCGAAAUGUGACUAAAACGUCAGAGUUUAGUAUGUCGUCCGAAAUGUGACUAAAACGUCAUAGUUUAGUAUGUCGUCCAAAAUGUGACAAAAACGUCAGAGUUUAGUGUUUCGUCCGAAAUGUGACUAAAACGUCAUAAUUUCGUUUGUCGUCCAAAAUGUGUCAAAAAUGACAUAGUUUAGUAUGUUGUCCAAAAUAUGGGAAAAAAAAAUCAUAGUUUAGUAUGUCGUCCAAAAUAUGGAAAAAAAAUGUCAUAGUUUAGUAUGUCGUCCAAAAUAUGGAAAAAAAAAGUCAUAGUUUAGUAUGUCGUCCAAAAUAUGGAAAAAAAAUGUCAUAGUUUAGUAUGUCGUCCAAAAUAUGGAAAAAAAAUGUCAUAGUUUAGUAUGUCGUCCAAAAUAUGGAAAAAAAAUGUCAUAGUUUAGUAUGUCGUCCAAAAUGUGACUAAAACGUCAUAGUUUAGUAUGUCGUCCAAAAUGUGACUAAAACGUCAUAGUUUAGUAUGUCGUCCAAAAUGUGACUAAAACGUCAUAGUUUAGUAUGUCGUCCAAAAUAUGACAAAAACGUCAUAGUUUAGUAUGUCGUCCGAAAUGUGACAAAAACGUCAUAGUUUAGUAUGUCUUCCAAAAUGUGACAAAAACGUCAUAGUUUAGUAUGUCGUCCGAAAUAUGACAAAAACGUCAUAGUUUAGUAUGUCGUCAGAAAUGUGACUAAAACGUCAUAGUUUAGUGUUUCGUCCGAAAUGUGACUAAAACGUCGUAUGUCGUCCAAAAUGUGACAAAAACGUCAUAGUUUAGUAUGUCGUCCGAAAUGUGACUAAAACGUCAGAGUUUAGUAUGUCGUCCGAAAUGUGACUAAAACGUCAUAGUUUAGUAUGUCGUCCAAAAUGUGACAAAAACGUCAGAGUUUAGUGUUUCGUCCGAAAUGUGACUAAAACGUCAUAAUUUCGUUUGUCGUCCAAAAUGUGUCAAAAAUGACAUAGUUUAGUAUGUUGUCCAAAAUAUGGGAAAAAAAAAUCAUAGUUUAGUAUGUCGUCCAAAAUAUGGAAAAAAAAUGUCAUAGUUUAGUAUGUCGUCCAAAAUAUGGAAAAAAAAAAGUCAUAGUUUAGUAUGUCGUCCAAAAUAUGGAAAAAAAAUGUCAUAGUUUAGUAUGUCGUCCAAAAUAUGGAAAAAAAAUGUCAUAGUUUAGUAUGUCGUCCAAAAUAUGGAAAAAAAAUGUCAUAGUUUAGUAUGUCGUCCAAAAUGUGACUAAAACGUCAUAGUUUAGUAUGUCGUCCAAAAUGUGACUAAAACGUCAUAGUUUAGUAUGUCGUCCAAAAUGUGACUAAAACGUCAUAGUUUAGUAUGUCGUCCAAAAUGUGACUAAAACGUCAUAGUUUAGUAUGUCGUCCAAAAUGUGACAAAGUAGGCCGUGAAAAACACUAUAGAGCAGCUGCCCACAGAGUUGAAGAGUACCCAUAUUGCUGAACAGGUUAAGCAGGCAACUUGUGUACAGGAGCUGGUCUCCACCUCAGCGGCCUGUGUUGCGUGUCCUCCCCCGAUUCAUGUCUACUUUCACUGCCACCGUUGAAUAAAGCCGAAAAAAAUGUCAGAGUUUGGUAUGCCAUCCGAAAAUGGACAAGCAUAUUUUAAUAUGACAAAAAUCUGCCACUUUGCAGCCAGAAACUGAAAAAAAGAAGAAAACCACAUUAAUUUCAUCGAUCCAGUAGCUUUUAUUGUCCUCUCAUAUUAAUUUUGAACAAGUUUUGGGGCACUGCUUUUCAACAAUUCUGCAGGUAUUUAUGCCGUCACAGACAGUUUUUGAGUCAUAUUGGACAAGUUUUGAAGCAUUUUGAAUCCGUUUUUCAACAAUUCUGGAAAACCUCAUCAUUUUAAACCAUUUUUGAGUCAUUUUAUUCGAGUUCCAGUUUUCAAAAUUUGCCCGAAAUCGCCCAAAAAAUUACUUAAGAUGUCAAGAAAUUGUCCAAAAUGACAUGAAACUGAUCUAAAAUUACAAAGCAUUCUCCAAAAUUACUCGAACAUGGUCUAAGCUUCAGGACAAACCAGCUGGAGAAAUGUCUUCCAGAACCUCUGGCUGGUUUCUCCUGAAGCGCUGCGGUCUCCUCAUCCUGUAGAUGUUGAACUAUUUCCAUGCUGACUGAUAAACGGUGUUUUGUAGUUCAGAGCGUUAGAGGGCAGCAGACUCUUUAAUACAUCAGAUUACAAUAAAGACACAGAGAGAGAAAGCACUUUAA